CUACAGAGGGUGCAAGCGUUAAUCGGAAUUACUGGGCGUAAAGCGCGCGUAGGCGGUUUGUUAAGUUGGAUGUGAAAGCCCCGGGCUUAACCUGGGAGGGUCAUUCAAAACUGGCAGACUAGAGUGUGGUAGAGGGUAGUGGAAUUCCUAGUGUAGCGGUGAAAUGCGUAGAGAUUAGGAGGAACACCAGUGGCGAAGGCGACUGCCUGGACCAACACUGACGCUGAGGUGCGAAAGCGUGGGUAGCGAACAGGAUUAGAAACCCUAGUAGUCC
rnacentral:rRNA from 1 species